GCAGAUGCACUCUGCACCCAGCUGCAGUCCCAGGUGGAUGAUUUUUUCCUCUGCCACAGAAACAUUCCAGGGUACUGUGACUACACUGACAUGACCAGGGUGGUGCGGCUGCCUAGGAUGCGGUG